UAAUCAGAGUUGGUUUAGGAAAACUAAGAAGAGCUAUUCAGUUUCAGUGACCUUGCUUCUUCUUCUAUCGUCAUAGACUCAUAGACAAGGCUUUCAGCCAUUCGGAGGUAAAACAUCCACAAACUUGCAGGCUUGCAGCGACUCGCUGUUGGUCGCUUUAUAUGAUAUUAGGCUUUAGUAUAGUACGCAAUACUCAAUAGUAAUGCACUCUUUUAUCUUUUGAGCUUUGAACAAUUGAACUCUGUUCCUUUUUAUUGUUAGCUUUA